GUCCUUUAUACCAACAGACCCAUGUCCGAUAUGAGGACCAAUCUAGCAGAUCGCAAAGAUUUUCCAGGCCCCUUAUUAGUACCCUUUCCAGUUCCAGGACGUCCCUUUUGUGAACCGAUGCCCAAAACUGAACAGAAAAUUCUAGCACAUCUGUGAUGAGAAGGAAGCAGAGAGACCGGAAGAAGUUCCACACUGGAACGAAACGGAUGUUGUCUUUAGUAACUCGCGUCUCUGUACUCCACUCCCCACCUGCCUGCACCCCCUUGUCUCUGAUGAGAUGUUUUAAGACACAAGAAUAAAUAAGUAUUUUUGAUACUCUGGUUCUGAGUGCCACACUAUGCACAUUUGGCUUAUUCAAUGGACAUGCAGAGAAGGUUUUUUUUUCUUCUAUUGACUGCCUAGCACUGUAAGAUUGCCAGACAACCCAUUAAAGGCUGUCAUUAGACACAGAAGUUUUUGAGCCAAAAUCAGAAGUGGAUCGAGCAAGAAAGAGUGCAAAAAAUCCUUCCUUUAUAUUCCCCAUUUCUUUAGAAU